rnacentral:rRNA from 1 species
UUCUUAAGUAAAAAUAUUUAAAUAAACAAAUUAAUUAAAAGGAACUCGGCAAAUUUAGUUGCUUCGCCUGUUUAUCAAAAACAUGGCUCUUUGCUUAUGUAAAUAUAGAGAGUCGAACCUGCCCAGUGAAUUUUUCAACGGCCGCGGUACUCUGACCGUGCAAAGGUAGCAUAAUCAUUUGCCUUAUAAUUGAAGGCUAGUAUGAAUGGUUUGACGAGAGCAACGCUGUCUCUUUUUUAUUUUCAAGAACUUAACCUUUAGGUGAAGAGGCCUAAAUUUUAUUGAAGGACAAGAAGACCCUGUCGAGCUUAAAAGAUACUAUAGAAGUUCAUAUAUUUUUAAAUAAAUUUUCUAUCCAACUUUUUAGUUGGGGCGACUAAGGAACAAAAAAAGCUUCUUGCUAAUAAUAAACACUCAUGUUUAGAUCCGGCAAUAGCCGAUCAAAGGAAUUAGUUACCGCAGGGAUAACAGCAUAAUCUCUCUCAAGAGGCCUAAUCGAAAGAGGGGGUUGUGACCUCGAUGUUGGACUAGAAUAUCCUAAAGAUGCAGA